UACGUAGGUGGCAAGCGUUGUCCGGAAUUAUUGGGCGUAAAGAGCUCGUAGGCGGUUCGUCGCGUCGGCUGUGAAAACCCGGAGCUCAACUCCGGGCCUGCAGUCGAUACGGGCGGACUUGAGUGUUGCAGGGGAGACUGGAAUUCCUGGUGUAGCGGUGAAAUGCGCAGAUAUCAGGAGGAACGCCGGUGGCGAAGGCGGUUCUCUGGGCAUUACCUGACGCUGAGGAGCGAAAGUGUGGGGAGCGAACAGG
rnacentral:rRNA from 1 species